AGGGAAUCUUCCGCAAUGGACGAAAGUCUGACGGAGCAACGCCGCGUGAGCGAAGAAGGUCUUCGGAUCGUAAAGCUCUGUUGUUAGGGAAGAACAAGUAUCGGAGGAAAUGCCGGUACCUUGACGGUACCUGACGAGAAAGCCACGGCUAACUACGUGCCAGCAGCCGCGGUAAUACGUAGGUGGCAAGCGUUGUCCGGAUUUAUUGGGCGUAAAGCGCGCGCAGGCGGUCCUUUAAGUCUGAUGUGAAAUCUUGCGGCUCAACCGCAAGCGGUCAUUGGAAACUGGGGGACUUGAGUGCAGAAGAGGAAAGCGGAAUUCCACGUGUAGCGGUGAAAUGCGUAGAGAUGUGGAGGAACACCAGUGGCGAAGGCGGCUUUCUGGUCUGUAACUGACGCUGAGGCGCGAAAGCGUGGGGAGCAAAC
rnacentral:rRNA from 1 species